rnacentral:rRNA from 1 species
CACGCUGUAAACGAUGAGUACUAGGUGUGGGGGGCGAAGCCCUCUGUGCCGCAGUUAACACAAUAAGUACUCCGCCUGGGAAGUACGAUCGCAAGAUUAAAACUCAAAGGAAUUGACGGGGGCCCGCACAAGCAGCGGAGCAUGUGGUUUAAUUCGAAGCAACGCGAAGAACCUUACCAGGGCUUGACAUCCAAAGAAUCCUGUGGAAACAUAGGAGUGCCCCUUCGGGGGAACUUUGAGACAGGUGG